CUUUGCUACUGCUCAGAGGGCGGGGCACGCGAUUCCGAGGAGAACCCUGGAUCUCCGCAGCUUUUACCACUAGGAGGCAACCUCUCCCCUUUCUUGCAGCCGAAAGGCAGUGAGACCGAAGCGCGGGUGGGGAGGGUGUGUGGAGAGAGAAUCACCCUGCUCUUGAAUGCUCAGAUGGCAGCAAAGGGGGGCGGGCGAGAGGCGAGAGCGGGGAAUACUGGAAACACGAAGGUGGUGUCAAGAUUCCGCCCGAGGGAGCGCGGCAUUCCGACGCGACUGUCCUGCCGGAUUCCUCGCGAGGACCCAGCCGUGUGUCUCAUGGAGCGCGGCGCGCAGGGCGUGAGCGCAAAGAGGCGCUCGCUCCUUUUGGAUGGCGGGCGGCUCCACUUUGCAAAUGUGCCAGGCGGAAUUGCACCAUCGGAGCGGGCUCCCUGCAGGGGGGUGGGGACCCGAGGGCGCUUCCUUAAACAGGCACCAGAAGGAGAGCGGGCGGAGGGAGGCCAAGCACGCCGCGAUCCUCCUUCCUCCUGGGCGGCUGCAGUCGCUGCCGCCGCUGGAUUUGCUGCUGCCGCUGCUGCUGUCGCCCAGCCCUGCCCUGCCCAGCCCAGCUGCAGCUCAGGCUUCUCUGCAUGUGUCAUCGAACACGUGGGGCUCUUUUUGCGCCGCGGAAACUUUCGAGGGAUACUUGCUUCCAACUUGGACUCGCGCACGGCGACAUCGGAAUGGGGAGGCGCGGGGGGAGAGAGAGAGAGCUCUUCGAUCUACUGCACCGAUCCAGACGCCUCUUUCCUUGACGUGGUCGCCUCGCUGCCUUCCCUUUCUGCUCGCGCUUGGAAUUGCGCUCCCGCGUCUUGAAACCGCGUCUGGACACGCCAACCCGCUUCUUCCUCCUGUCCCUUGCCCUCUUCUUCACGUGUGGGAAACGUGGCGUGCGUGUGUUUGGAAGGAAUGGGCUCUGGGUAUUGGGGUUUUGCUGUCUGUUGUUUUUUUUACCCCGAGUGGUGAACCUCGCCCUCCCUGCACCUCCCUCCUUUAGUUCCUUCCCCGGUCCGUUUUAUAGUUUCGAGAAGAUCUGGAAGGCCAUGCAAUUGACGCCCAGGAGACCCACUUCGUUUGCUUCCACCCCCCGGACCUAAGAGCCCAUGAAACAUUUAUUGAUGGUCAGUCUGGGAGAUUAUGCGGAGCAUCGUGACUCACCUCCAUGCCAGAGAAGUUACACUGCAUGCGGGAUGGUCUUUUUUGUAUGCCAUUGAAUGUAUAUUGGGCUUUAAUGUCUGAAAACUGGGUUUGGGUCCUGCAGUUACCUGCAAUGAGGAAGCACCUGUAACAGAACGAAUCCCGUGCUUCGUGGCUCAUUCAUCAUUUAGCUGGCUAUUAGCGGGAGAUAGGGCAUUCCUAUUCCUGUUGCCAGCUCACAGAUCAAAGUAGCUCUGUUCCAGAGGUAUAAGGUCAAAACACUUCAGAACAGGUACUUUAGAUUAGCCUAGAAAGCACUGUUGUCUUUGGCCACCACCACAAACUGUAUGUGUAUCAUCUUGUCGGAGAAGUUGCUAAGCUGUUUAGGUUUUUAUUUGGGAGAGGGGUAUGGGAGGGAGCAUGUUUCACCCCCCACCAUUCCUACACAACUGAUCUGGGGAUGUGGGGAUGCUGUGGUCUAAACCACUGAGCCUCUUGGGCUUGCCGAUCGGAAGGUCGGCGGUUCGAAUCCCCGCAACGGAGUGAUCUCCGAUUGCUCUGUCCCGGGUUCUGCCAACCUAGCAGUUCAAAAGCAUACCAGUGCAAGUAGAUAAAUAGGUACCGCUGUGGCGGGAAGGUAAACGGUGUUUCCGUGCGCUCUGGUUUCUGUCACAGUGUCCCGUUGUGCCAGACGCGGUUUAGUCCUGCUGGCCACAUGACCUGGAUAGCUGUCUGUGGACAAACGCCGGCUCUCUCGUCCUGAAAGCGAGAUGAGCACCACAACACCAUAGUCACCUUUGACUGGACAUAACCAUCCAGGGGUCCUUUACCUUUACUAUAUCUGAUUGUCUGAUAUGGCCAGACAUGUACAGCCUUGGCUGCUGGAAAGGGACUUGAGAACCACUUAUGCAACAUGACUCCCUAUCGACUCAGGACACAUGUGCAGAAACCUACUUCCUGGCAUGUCUGACCACUAGCCAUAACAGGGCAAUAGUGUUGGCAAUUGUCAUGUGCCAAAUGGCUUGAAAAGUACAGCUGUCAAAAUAACUCUUUACCUUUUAUUUAAAAUAAAUUUUAUUUAUUUAUGCCAUUUUCCCUUGCAUUUGUACCUUGAUGUUCCUCCAAGAAGGUUGGGAUCACAUAUUUGGGGUCAUUUGGCUCCCCCCCCCAUCGCAACAACUACCCUGUGAGGUAGAUUGGGGUUGCCAAGCUUUUGGGGCCGGUGGAAUUUUGAGAGAGCGCACCUCCUCUAGUUUCUUCUCUCGCUGCCCCUCAGUCCCUUUCAAACCCCCCAUCUCACCCUUCUGACACAGAGAGAAAGAACAUGCACACAAACACUGGUCCCAUUUGCACGAUGCAUUUAAAGCAGGAUCGUACCACUUUAAGCAGUCAUGGCUUCCCCCAAAGCAUUCUGGGAGCUGUAGUUGGUUAAGGGUUAAGGGCGCUAAGAGCUGUUAGGGGAGCCCUAUUCCCAUCACAGUGCUACACUUCCCAGAGUGGUUUAACAUUCAAUCCCUCUUUGCAGCACUCCUAACAACUGUGACACAGCAUGUGAUCCAAUGGUGGUUUUGAGGGGUUCCCCUGUGAAAAUUUCGAGACUCCAUAAGGAGCUCUCUUUUGUUCUGGGUUCCUUCCUUGUUCUCCUGCGUGAGGGGAAGGACCCUGUUGCAACAGCAAAAAUGAAGGCUUUGCUUCUCAAACAUCUCUGGUUGGCCUCUGUUAUAUCCUCCGACCGAUGGAGAACACAAUAAGGGCUCUUGUGUACCCCAUAAUGGAAUAAGGGCAGAUUUUUGCUUAUUACAGGGGGGAGGCAGGGAAUUUUCCCCACCUGACUCUCUGCUGCAUGAACCCUCUUGUACCUUGAGGGCACCUCCAUAUUUCCCCCUCAGCCUUCUGACAACACACCAUGGGAACUCGCCCUAUUGACCAAAUGUUCUCACUCCUGAGAGCUUCUCCACCUACUACUGAAUGGAAAUAUCUUCUCUUGGUGCAGAGGUGAGAGCCUGUUUUUCUUGGCAAGGCCAGUGGAUAUGAUUAGCUUUAUCUCUGUUUGGAUUGUUGUCUUUAACACAGAGGAGAGGGCAUUACCUCACCCUGGAGCAGGCUGCAGACCCAAAAGCGAUUACGCCGGAAUAUUUUUAGUGCUCAAAACAGGAAAGGCCUGUUGUGGCUAAAAACAUUUGGUGAUUCCGCCCCCCUCCCCACUGCCCCUUUUCUUUCUCUCUCCGUGAUCCCAUUUUUAUCCUCUUGUUCUAAGGCAUCAUAAUGCCACGAUGACUAGUUGUUUGGGGCGAGGGGGUUGAAAGAGGAAGUGCUUGUGUGCUGGUUUUUAUGUGGGAAUGAUUUUCCUCGGCUUCCCCUUGACAAUAAAUCAUGCACGGCUGUUAAGACGAGGAGGAAUUCCUGUCAUAUCUCCUCUCAAUCUAGAGCCUCGAGUUUCUCUCAUGGCCUGUGUACUCAAGUCGCUGGUUUUUAUCUCUGAAGUGUGGAUCAGACACAGAAAAAAAAAACAGCAGACCUGGUGCAUUCUUCCCUCCUGCCAUGUCUCAGUAGCAAGUCCUCUUUUUCAAAAGCGUGUUUUCUUGUAUAUGGGCCCACUAUAGGGUUGCCAUAUUUCGAAAAGUGAAAAUCCGGAGCUUUUUCUUUUUCUUUUGCCAAAGUUGCUGAGAUUUUUCUGGCAAAAUCUCGAAAAAAGGGAGAAGUUUUGGAGCUAUUUUUAAAGAACUUCGCCAAAAUCUUGACUUCCGACAUGGGUUGGCAUACAUCCAGAUUUCUCCUGACUGCUUCCAGCUGCUGUAUUCUGGCUAUGUCCAGGUUAUUCCAGACACAUGGCACAUAGCUGUCAACCCUCCUGUUUUUUGCGGGAAACCCCCUUAUUUAAGUCCAUUUCCCACUGUUACCCCGGAUUGUAAAAUCUCCCGUAAAUCUCCUGGAUUUUAAAGGAAAUCACCAAGGUGGGAAUGUCAGAGGGACGGGGUCUGAGGAAAAUACAAGGGAAAUAAGAGUGGUUCAAAGCAAAAAUGGUACUUCCUAUGAAAUGAUUUGGGAGGCUUUGACAGCUAAAAAUGGUACCUCGUGUGAAAUGAUCGGGGAGGCUUUGAAAGUGAUAGAGCAGAAAUGAGAAGGGAGAAUGUAAAAUUAUUUAAAAGGCCUGGAGGAAAACAUAUAAAGAUUUGAAGAGAAUGUGGGAAAUGGCAGUUGUUAAAAAAAUUGAAGUUAUGGUUUUGAGAUGUACAAGACUUGAUGGACUUAUGGAACGAAAGACUUGGUUCCUGUAUUUGAGAGUGGAUGCCAGGCCAAGACCUACUAGCCUAUAUAGAAGGAAGAAACCACCGCCAAAGAAGAUAAAGAAGAUUGGCAAAAUAAAAUAAUGAACUGUGCAGGACAAAUUAAAUAAUAUGAAACCCAACAAAGAAAGAGGACUUUGAGCUCAAAAAAGGGACAACUGUUUAAUGUAUAUCUUUUAAACCUUGUCUAUAGAUCUCUACAUUAGUUUAACUUUUAAAAGUCACUUGUCAUAAGAUGAAGAAGGUUUUAAAAUUGGAUUGUUAAGAAUGUAAGGUUUCAUGGAAGUCUAUGAACAAGCACAAACAAUGGAACCGAAAGAAGGAGUGAAGUCAAGCACAGAAUUAUGGUUUAAAAAUUUGUUAAUUUUUUUUUCUUCCUUUUUUGUUAUUUUGGAAAACCUCUGGAAAAUUAAUAUGAAAUUCACAGCAAAUUACAAUAUUAGAGAAAAUACGUUAAAAAUGAACCACAGAUGGUAUCUCACACCUUCAAGGUUGUCCAAGAUGUAUAAGAACAUUGCGAACGUAUGCUGGAGGUGUGGGAGAAAUAAUGGGGAUUUAUUCCACAUGCGGUGGUCAUGUGAAAAGAAAAAAUGGUUCUGGGAUAAGACGAGAUAAAAAAAAUUCUGGGAAUUACUUUCCAAAAAAGACCAGAGACUUUUUUGUUAAGCAUCACAGGGAGAGAUAUCCCAACGCAGCAAAGAUAAAUCUUCCUGGGUGCUACAGCUGCGGCUCGAAUACUUGUGGCCAAAGGGUGGAAAGAAAAGGAGGUACCGAAAAUCACGGAAUGGCAGAGUAAAUUGCAGGAUUUUGCUGAAAUGGCACAACUAAUGAAUAGUCUUAGAGGCAAUUCAAAAGUUGUUUUUUUAAAAAAAUGGGAAAGGUAUAAGAAAUAUGUUCAAAAAUAUAAUAAAAAUGUAAUACCCAUGACAGCUUUUGAGUGAUACUAAAAGGAAAUAGGGUUGAACUAUAAUUGUUAGGAUGUAAAAGGAAAUAAGAAUGUAUUAGAAUAAGAUCUUUAGAAGUUUGUACUACUGUAAUGGUAUUGACAUUCAAAUAUAAAGAUAAGUCCAUACACGUGAAAUUAACAGGAAGUCUAAACCCUUCCCCCCUUUUUUUCUCUUUCUUUUUUCUUCUUCUUUGUAUCUUAAUUUUAUUUAAGGGUGGUAAUAGCAGGGGGGAAAAAAGAUAAUCAAUGAUGGUUAUUCCGUAUUGUGUACGUCCUGCUGCGUAUAAUGUAUGUGAGUUUAUUGCAUAUUUUGUAUGGUACGGUAUGGGAUGUUUUGUAUGUUAUAUAUAUUUUGUAUUUAUGAUGAAUAAGCAAUAAAAAGGACAUUUUAAAAAAGGAAAAUUAAUAAAAUGUUAUAAAAAACAACAACAAUAACAGCUUCCCCCAAAGAAUUAUGGGAGCUGUAGUUUGUUCAGGGUGCUGAGAGUUGUCAGGAGCCCCCUAUUCCCCUUACGGAGCUACAAUUACCAGAGUUCCUUGAGACAAAGGAUUGUCUUCUAAACUAUGGCAGGAAUUUUAGUCAAUAGAGAUAACUGCAACACACACACACAGACACACCAACAAAUCUCCAGUACAAAGUUUUGCAGCUGGAGUCAGUCAGGGCCCUGCCCUCCCAGGCCAGGUGGGAAAAGUCAUACAGGAGAGGGAGUGGGUCUUCCAGGGCUCACAGCCAAGGUGGCAUGUGCUUGCUAGUUCUCUCUAAGCCACUAUCUUGCAGUGGGCUCGUUGAAACACAUUUCCUUAGCUGCAUGAGGAUUUCAGCAAUCAUUCAUAAGGCAGGGCUUUGAGUAUUAAGCAACACCUUGCACAAGCAAGUCUGUAGGCUGCACACAGUGCUGAUUAAAUGAUACGGAGGUGCCCUAAUGUUCAGAACGUCAUGUGAAAUCAUGGCAUAGAUGCCUUGCUCAAGCCUAGUGCUGAUUUAAUGAUUUCUGUUUGAGGCCGACGGUGAAAACUGAAGGCGUCGAUCUGCAUGUCAACUAGCUCACCAUCUGGGCUGAGCCUGUGCCCAACAUCUUCUGAUGCUCUUCCAAAUGGUGAGGACAGGUCUGAGAAAGCAACAGCUCAAGGAUUGCAAAGCUGACUGAGCCUUAGCUUCCACAGAGCAUCUCUAAAAUAUGACCUGAAGCACUUGGGUUGCCUCUGUAGAAAUGGUGUAGCAGCCAUCAAGAACUCCCUGUUACAACUUGACCCCAGUGAUCAGGACUACAGACCAGCCAACUGUCCUUAUUUUCCAGGGACAGUCCUGGAUUUACAGAAGCCAUCCUGGUUUCUGAUUUGAUCCUGGAAUGUCCCACUUUUCCUUAGGAUGUCUUUAUUUUCAUCAGAGAAAGGGUGAAGGGCAUAGGACCUCUGAGCCAAGGAGAUAAGCAAUGAACCAGCUUUUAGAAGACCUCUGAAAGUAGGGCUGCCAUACACCUGGGAUUAUCCCAGACAUUACCGGGAUUUGUAUGUCGGAAAUAGCGUCUGGGUGAAAUUUCAAAAAUUGGUAAAAAUGGGAAAACCCGGGCGUAUGGCAGAAGUGUUGGUUUUUUGGUGAAUUUCCCUUAACAAUAGCUCACCUCCCAGCCCCCCAAAAACUCAACAACAUUUGUGUCCAGAUUUUCACAUUUUGAAAUAUGGCAACCCUAUCUGAAGGCAGCCCUAUAUAGGGAAGUUUUUUUAUGUUUAAUGUUUUAUUUAUUUUAUUAAUAUGUUGGAAGCCGCUCAGAGUGGCUGGGGCAACCCAGUCAGCUGAGCAGGUUAUUGUUGUUGUUGUUGUUGUUGUUGUUGUUGUUGUUGUUGUUAUUAUCAUUGUUGUUGAAUAGGACAUCCCCAUUUUCACAGGAGAAAUGUUGGAGGGUGUGGGACUACAUAAUAAGAAAUGCAACAGGUGUGUUCUGCUGCCAAUGUAUACGUGCCAGAAAGUCUUUGUCAAACCCACAUUUGCAAAUAUUUAUGUACUGCAUUAAAACGCCACAUGAUUCCCAACCCCUUGCAUCUUGCCCUUUGAAAUGUAAUAGGUGAAGCUUUUUCACCAGAACAUUAAAGCAAAACCAAAGCACCUCACCCUUUCAUUGAUUUAAGGCAGGGAUGUCCAACAGGUCGAUUGCAAUCUACUGGUAGAUCCCUGGGAGGUUUUGGUAGAUCGCAGUUGAUUGCUGGGUUCCUUUCCUUAGUGUUGGUAAUAUUGAAUCCAGUCCCACCCCAUCGCCCCGCCCUCCAUUGUCGCACGAUCUGCAGAAUGGAGGGCAGAGUUUUCUCAGAGAGGCUGUUUGUUUCCCCAGCAAUCUGUUGGUCAGUGUCUGUUCCUCCUUCUCCCCCAAAACCCUUAAAAUUGGGGCUUUCUUCCUCCCAAAACAAAGCUCAACAACUUUGACUUGAACCCCCCCAAAAGGGGGUAGAUCACUGCCAGUUUUUAAUUCUGUAAGUAGAUUGCAGUCUUUUGGGAGUUGGCCACCCCUGAUUUAAGGGAAAGGAAUGAAUGGUGAACGGACUGAAAUUUAUCCAGUCGUGGAGUGAAUCAUUGAAGAAAGCAAAGUCCGUGGCCUGGGGCCCUUAACAUCAAUGAAGAGGCAAUUUGUGUAUUUGAGCACGAUGGUUACUGAUGACAGUUAAACCCAAAUAAAGGCAUGAAAAGCAUUGUUCUUCGAUUUGAUCAGAAGCCCAGCGCUAUCGUUCCCUUUCAUGACAUUUCAGGUUAUUCAUCCAGUCAAAGGGGAAACGCUCACGAUGCCACAUGAUUUAAAUUAAUCCAGUGAGUGGAAAUAUCCAAAUUUCACAGCAGAGACGGCUGGUUAUUUCAAAGGAGCUCUUUAUGAUGAGGGCUCCAGCAUAUGGUUACACGACAGAGGAAAUGAGCUUCUUUAGGAAGAUUUAAUAUCAUUAGCAGCUUAGGCACUUCUUUCCUUAGGAGAGGGAUGAAAUCCCAGUUGCUUAAUCCGUUGUCACUUAACUGCCGCUGAGCUUCAUCUCUUCAUUUUUAAAAUUGAAGCAGGCGUGGAUGCUCCUGAAAACAAAACGAUUGGAUUCGAUUCACAAUGUGAGCAUGGGAGAAGUGGGCCGGCCCUACCGUUGGGCUGGGUGAGAUAGCUGCCUCAAGGAGAAGGUUUUGGGUGCUGUGCCACUGGCCAAUAGUCCUUCCUGACAGGAAGGAAGAAUAGCAAUGGCAAUCAAUCCCAGGAGCUGCAUGCUCCCUAAGGUAAUUCCACCUCUACACCGGAUAAAUUGUAAAUAUGCAAAGCACAUUUAUUGGAGAGUAGAUAAUACUGCUUGAUUAGCGACUAGGUGUUUCUAAAAUGCGCUCAGUGAAAUUAAGAGGCUGUGGCAAACAAUCCACUUAUUUUGAAGCACAGGUAAUACUACUCUGGAGCAAACAGAUUGAAUAUUGCAGCCACAGGCGAUUAUGGACAGGGCCGUCUUUACCGGGGGUGCAAGGGAUGCAGUGCACCCGGGCAUCGAAUUCUGGAGGGCACCAAAUGGAUCGGCAGCAGUGAAAAGCAAUGGAGCGGAAGUCCCCCCCCCCCCGGUCGUUCUGUUAUUCUGUAGCGUCAAAUAUUACAGACAAGUCAGGAAACAAAAGCAGCUAUUUCCACUGCGUCGUCGUUACAGGUGAACUAAAUUUGUGGGCGCUGGGCAGAUCUUUGCACCCCGGCGGCACAUAUGAUAAAGACGGCCCUGAUUAUGGACUUCGGCAAUAACACCUUCAUCUAUCUCUAUCUGUAUUAAUAUGAUCUCUGGGUUAAAGUAGGGAAGGGGGGAGGAGGAGAAAUUCCUGAGCAAGGACAAUUUUGUGCACUUUGGGUUGGUUUACAAGUGCAUGUGUGCUAUCAUCGGCAUAGCCAAGUCAGGUAGGGGGGCAGCUGCCCCCCCCAAUCAAGUAAAACAAUAGAAAUACUAACUGACCAAUAACGUCAGUUCUGCCUCCCGCCGCCCCCCCCCCAACUAAACUCCUGGCUAUGCCCAUGUGUGCUAUGAUAGAAUUUCAAAGCUUAUAAUAUAUCCAAAUACUUUGAAAGUCAUGGAGAUUUCAAUGUGGGAUGUCAUCCUUGUAGCAGUCAAAUACAACAUUCCUUGUUUGCCUAGAGUGGAAACAUAUAGGGGGAUGUUGAUACAGCCAGUUGAACUUCCUGUUCCACCUGGUCUGGAGCAUCCUCCCCCUGCAGGUGGAACAGGGAGGUAUGUGGACUUGAGCCUUGCAGACCUAACAAAAGGCCCAGUCAUGCAGCCAUCUCUCUUUUUGAUGCCGUUUCUUCUCUUGAACUACACUGCUGGCUCUCUGCCAGCAGCGCAUGGGCCCAUCCUUACAAGGAUGUAAGCCACACUGUAUCUGUAACCGCAAGCUAAAGCCUGCCUUCAGGGAUCAUACUGUGAACUGAACAUGAGUAAACUGUUCAUUACUUAUAAGGAAGACUCUUGUGUCUUUAUUCUUUUAGGAGGGAAUCAAAGGGGUCUUACCAGGAAUAUACUCCAAUCUGGGCAUGCCCGAUUGAAUUGCUUAACUAAAGAGAUUCAAACGAAUCUGCAACUAGCUUCUUGCUAUGUAAAAGGGGAAUAAGCUCUGCUAUGCAGUGGUACCUCGACUUACGAACGACUCGACAACUGAAUUUUUCGACUUACGAGUGGGGCAAAUGGCCGCACGCUUACAAAUUUCUCGACAUCUGAACGGAAACAGCGGCGGUUUUAGAUAGGGUUUUUUCGACAUACGAAUUUUUAGAUGGGGUUGCUUCAACUUACGGAUUUUUCCAUUUCCAAUGCAUUCCUAUGGGAAAUCGUGUUUCCAAUGGCACUUUUCGACACGAAUUUUUCGACCUACGAAGGUGCCUUCAAAACAGAUUAAAUUCGUAAGUCGAGGCACCACUGUAUAUAACUCACUAGCAUGAGUUAGGAAGAAUGAUAUUUAAUCAAUAUAUCCUCGCCUACUAUCCACAACAUUGCCCCAUUCGGGAGAUUGCACAGAAACUCGAGUGAUUGAUGGGAAAUCUGGAUGCUUUUGCUGCAGACGGGUCCAGCGGUGAGUUAAGGUGAUCCCUGGCUCAAAGUAAGCCUUGCCUUCCCAAGAGCUCUAUCCUCCAGAAAUGUGCAACAUGUUGUUAUAAGAAUUUUGAGGUCAUAUCUAUAUAUAUAUAAUAAUUGUUCAUAAAACAUGUACAUGAAUGUACAGGCACAUGUCUGAAGCAGCACAGGAAGACAGGCCUUUCUGACACCAUUUUGACUCUCUCUCUGACCAGGUGUUCCUCUGCAAGGAAGAAGUGGGGUGGGGGGAACCUUCUCAUUGUCUCAGGAAUUAAAGUGAUAAUCCCUGGCAUCCUGAUACCUGACUGCCAGACAAAAGGGUGUGAUUAACUUGGCUGGGAAACAGGGAAAUGUAAAUAUCUCUCAAUUUUGUUGAUUAGGUUUUGGGGGGCAGGGGGCAGGGUCCAGACUGCUCAGAUUACUGCCACCAGACCUCCCCUUUCAUGAUGUACCUAUGAUGAAUCUAGGGAGGGGGGUCUUGGGCUACACCCCUUCUGUGACAUAUGGAUGAUGCUUCUGGGGGGUGGGCUGAAACCAAUUUCAAAUUUCUUUUUAAGGGCAAGACAUCUUUGUUUGGGGUUCCUUCCUUGUUCUCCUGUGUGAGAGGAAGGACCCUGUUGCAACAGUUAAAAUAAAAGUGCCUUGCUUCGUACGUCCUGGUUUGGUCUCUGUUAUUUGGUGGGCAGGAGACGCUUAAAUUCGUCUGCUUGCCUGGAUCCUUGAGCUCUCCCUGGGUCAAGAUCCAUUUCUCUGGGUUCAUAGGAACCAGCUUAAAUUUUACAACAAUUUGGCGACCACUUCGGGGACCCAGUUUUGCCUUGAGCUCCGGGUUCACUGAGGAAGGGGAGCCCAGCGCGCCCUUGCCUCUUUUGCAGGGGGGUAAACCAACCUCAGGACCCGAGGCACUUGGUAGUAAUUGAGAGUCCAAGCGGGACCCCCAGGACGAAGCAACGUUUAAAGGGACAAGGCUGUUUUUUUUUCAGGAACCAGUUGGAAGCUGGAGACAACGGGAUUCGACUGAAAGGAUCGGUCGUGAGUAUUAAAAGGGGACACCUUGGGUGAGCUAAGAACCACAGCAACUAAAAAUCUAUUUCUCCACUUGGACUAUCCUUUUCUACUCUCCUCUUUGGACCUUAGUUGCAGCAAGGCUGCCAGGCACAGUUACAAGGUAGAACUGAGGUCCAGGGCAACAGUCUUUACGUUAAACGCAGAGCUCAGAAAGACUGUCCCAGCUCCCUUCUGCCAAACUGAGCAGAAGUCUGAGCAAACUGUCGCUUUUCUACCAAUCUGGGAAUCUGGCUAUCCCAGCUCUGUUUCCUAUUCCUCUGCUCUUAAUCUUCGGGUGAAGACGCCCCCCUGCCAUGGCGACCUUUGUUAGGUAUGACCCAUGACCAGAGAUUGCAAGUGCGCCCGUUCCUUUCCUACUACUCUGUAUCUCUGUAUUCCUCAGUUCCGACCUGACAUUGCGUAGGCAAGCGUUCAGUAGGAUAUGAGUCUAGUGUGUAAGAGGCAGGGAAGUUGCUGUGGAACCCUCAGGCAAUUGAUGACCAGUGGGAGGGUUCCAAUAGGGUUUUAGCUGCACCAGGCCGCCUAGUAGUUAGUGCACGCGAACGGCAGGCAGGAACACCACUAGGACGUGGGGGUGAGUCAUAGACUCGGGAAGUUAAGAGUGUCCAGGAACAGGGUCGGGGACCCGAACUGCAGUAUAAAAAGGCUUAAGUAAAAUGGGUGCAACCCACUCUAAGGAAUUCCUUUCCCAGACUCCCAACCGAGGCAAAGCACAACUGAGGCUUGGCUCCGGUAAGGACUUUGAGGAUGAAAGUCCACUCCAAUUCGUUCUCUUAAAUUGGCACGAAAUCCCCGGGGCGGACAAGCUUGAAGGGAACCAAUUGCAAAAACUUUGUAAGAAAAAAACACUGGGUCCGCUUUACUAUGGACCACCCAGAUGAGGGGAAAUGGCUACCAGGAGGUUCCUUUAACAUACAGUGAAUCUCCGCUUUAAAAUUAACCCUGGUGAACUCUGAAUGGGAAAAGUUUUGUGAGGAAUCCUGCAAAGUAUGUUAUGGUAUAAAAUUAUAUAUGUUUGCAUGUUACAUGUUGUCUGUGUUGUCUGUGAAGUGUAUGUGCGUCUGAUCCUUGUGUCUGCUAUAGUUCAUUGUUCCCCUUAAAGUAAAUGAGAGAUAUAAUCCAGGUUUAGGAAAUUAGGGGUUUGUGUAAAAUUUGGCCAUGACACCCACAGACUGCCUUUUUUAAAGCAUGCAUAGUUUAAAAUAAUAUAAUAAUAAGGCAAGCUUGCUUAAAUAAUCUUAUGUAAGGGCUUGAUCAACCCAAAAACAAUGGCAAAUAUUUAAAAGAGUGGAGGUAGUGUGUAAAGGUUUGUUUUAAAGAGGCUGUAGAAGGCCAUUUUUUCCUCUCCAAAAGUAAAAAGAGGGGGCAGGAUGAAGGAAAAUAAGAGUAGUAAGUUUGAAAAUGCUUGCUCAAUGCUUUGAAAAUAUUUUGAAACUUGAAAAUGUUCACUUCAUGAGGUGUGCAAAUGUUUGUUAUUGAGAGAGGCUCUAAAAGGGAGUCUUCCUCCAAGUGACUAGAGGAAUAUUGACUAAAGGAAAAUUGAACAGCUAUUCCUAUAAAGGUGAAUUGUUUGUCAAAAGUAGAGCUUCCUUAGCCAGGAAUUGUCUAUCUGAGUCUAGUUUUAACUUCAAUUGUGUUGGGCUCCUGAUAUCACCUCUUAAGGAAAAAAACUCAUCUGCUAAAGGGUUCUAUAUAAAGUUGGUAUUUUCAUUCAAAUCUUGUGAAUCCUGUAUCUUAGAGGGUUAGACUAAAUGACCUCAGGGUCCCUUCUAACCCCCAUUUUAGAGCUAUGUGAAAGGCAAUGUGUCUGAUGUGGUGAUGGGUUGAAAUUCAGCCCAGCUCUGCUUUCUGGCAAGGAAAGAUUAUUGGUUUUCAGAGUUGGAACAAGAGUGUAAUUGUUGUUUUUGUGGAGUGAUUAUAUAAGUUUUUAUCACUUUCUCUAUUAAGGGUUAAAGUUUAAGCACAUAUGAAAGUCUUGAACAUUUCCCAAUCUUUCUCUAGAGAGUAAAAGUGGGGUGUAUGUGCAUACCUACCCCUUUCUGUACAGAAAGGGGGAGCGGGAAGGGAAAAGGGAGAUUGUAACCUUGAAAAUGUUUGUUUGUGAACUCACAAUAUUUAAGGUCUGUGUCACAAGGGAGCCAUGUGCUCUGUAUGUAAUGUUUCACCAUGUGACUAUGGAAUAUGGUGUUCCUUCUAGGGAAAUGUUAUUAAAAGUAGAGGAUCCAUAGCCAGCAAAUGUCUAUCUGAGUCACUUUAACCUUGAUUCAAAUGGACAGAAUGGUUUUAGUAAGGAAGUAAAUUCCCUCUUAAACUGUUUAUCCAAUCUUAAGGUUUGCUAAAGGCUUCUAUAUAACGUUGGUACUUUUAAUCUUCCCCUUCCUUAUUUUUCCCUUAGUACACACAUGUGCUUCCGUGAUAGGGCAUAGCCUGUGUUUCCUUCCCAGUCAGGCGUCUGUACUCAAAUGUAUGUGUAUCCUAAGGGCAGUGAUAGUGUUGAGAUCCCCAUAUUUCAGAAGGGGUGGACUAGAUUACUCAAGAUCCCUUCCAACCCUUUCCAAACUUGCAAAAAGGAGGGAGAGAAAAUGUGUUUGUAAGCACUGAAAAGUGAGUUUCUGUGUAAAAUCUAACCCUAUUUUAAAAUCUACUCUUUCCCCUUCCCUUCCUUUAUUCAGAUGGUAAUUUUGUCAAGAGGUGCAGCACUUUAAAAAAUGGUACAAUAGACUGCCGAAUCAUGAACUCUGUACAUGCACAGAGGCUAUGUCAGCUUGAAGAGGAAAAUAGAGGAGAAAAAUGAGGUUUUAACUAAGGGGCAAAAAGGUUAUAAUCUGCUCAUGAAAUAUUAUUCAAAUUUCUUAAUGUAAAGCUUUGAACCACUGAGGGAAAACAACCUCAUGUGUGUUACUGGUCCAUCAAGGUUAAGUGGUUGCCAAGUUCCAAAAAUCUUAACAUGCCAGAUUCUUUCCACAGGUAUAAAUAGCAGAGUACUACUAUAAGUCUGUCUCUUGAGUAGUUUAUAAAUUAAUUAAGAGGUUCAAGGUUAUGCUUUGCACAUGAAACUUAAAUUUAAAUUUCCUUAUGUAAAAAUAAAUAGAUAAAGAACCAUUGAGAACCAUCAACUGUUUAGAAGCUGCCAAUUCCAGUUCAACAUGCAAAACUCUGUACAUUUUAGGAACAUUUCCUGACUGAUUUUCACAUGAAAUAAUUUUCCCUUUCCAGCAGAAUACUGAGAUUCAGGGUGUG